rnacentral:rRNA from 1 species
GAACGACCCGCGAAUCGUCAUUGCGUACUAGACAGAGCCCAAGAGCACCUAUCGCGUCGUGUCGGCGCGGGUGUCCUCGAGACCCGCGUCGUACCGGCGGACAAACAAUGUCAGCACGGAUCGUGCCAAGGAGCUUUAUUGAGAGAAUCGUCGUCCCACGCCUUUGAUAGUCCUCGAUGCGCGACGGGGGGCGGGGGACGUACGCAAUCUCUACCCAAAGUCUAAACGACUCUCGGCAACGGAUAUCUCGGCUCUUGCAUCGAUGAAGAACGUAGCGAAAUGCGAUACUGGUGUGAAUUGCAGAAUCCCGCGAACCAUCAAUUCUUUGAACGCAAGUUGCGCCCGAAGCCUUACGGCCGAGGGCACGCCUGCCUGGGUGUCGUGAAUCCCCUUGCCCCUAGGCACCCGCAUGAGCAUUGGCGGGUAUUAUGCUCGGGCGCAGAAUGUGGUCUCCCGUUGGACUGGCAUGCACGGCAUGUCGAGGUGCGGUUGGCCGAAAAUCGAGCAUGGCGGUGACGGGCACCACGGCGUUCGGUGGAUCGAAUGAGAUUGGCUGCGCCGUGGGCUCGGCAUGCGGCGGGCUCUGGACUUUGAAUUCCCCGAGUGCGAUCCCAGGUCAGGCGGGGCUACCCGCUGAGUUUAAG